rnacentral:tRNA from 1 species
GCCUGGCUGGCUCUGUUGGUAGAGCACAAGACUCUUGAUCUCUGGGUUGUAGGUUCGAGCCCCACGUUGGGUG